rnacentral:rRNA from 1 species
GGUUAAGCGACUAAGCGUACACGGUGGAUGCCCUGGCAGUCAGAGGCGAUGAAGGGCGUGCUAAUCUGCGAUAAGCGCCGGUAAGGUGAUAUGAACCGUUAUAACCGGCGAUACCCGAAUGGGGAAACCCAGUGUGACUCGUCACACUAUCAUUAACUGAAUCCAUAGGUUAAUGAGGCGAACCGGGGGAACUGAAACAUCUAAGUACCCCGAGGAAAAGAAAUCAACCGAGAUUCCCCCAGUAGCGGCGAGCGAACGGGGAGGAGCCCAGAGCCUGAAUCAGCAUGUGUGUUAGUGGAAGCGUCUGGAAAGGCGCGCGAUACAGGGUGACAGCCCCGUACACAAAAGCGCAUGUGCUGUGAGCUCGAUGAGUAGGGCGGGACACGUGGUAUCCUGUCUGAAUAUGGGGGGACCAUCCUCCAAGGCUAAAUACUCCUGACUGACCGAUAGUGAACCAGUACCGUGAGGGAAAGGCGAAAAGAACCCCGGCGAGGGGAGUGAAAAAGAACCUGAAACCGUGUACGUACAAGCAGUGGGAGCACAGGUUUACCUGUGUGACUGCGUACCUUUUGUAUAAUGGGUCAGCGACUUAUAUUCUGUAGCAAGGUUAACCGCAUAGGGGAGCCGGAGGGAAACCGAGUCUUAAUUGGGCGUUAAGUUGCAGGGUAUAGACCCGAAACCCGGUGAUCUAGCCAUGGGCAGGUUGAAGGUUGGGUAACACUAACUGGAGGACCGAACCGACUAAUGUUGAAAAAUUAGCGGAUGACCUGUGGCUGGGGGUGAAAGGCCAAUCAAACCGGGAGAUAGCUGGUUCUCCCCGAAAGCUAUUUAGGUAGCGCCUCGUGAAUUCAUCUCCGGGGGUAGAGCACUGUUUCGGCUAGGGGGCCAUCCCGGCUUACCAACCCGAUGCAAACUGCGAAUACCGGAGAAUGUUAUCACGGGAGACACACGGCGGGUGCUAACGUCCGUCGUGAAGAGGGAAACAACCCAGACCGCCAGCUAAGGUCCCAAAGUCAUGGUUAAGUGGGAAACGAUGUGGGAAGGCCCAGACAGCCAGGAUGUUGGCUUAGAAGCAGCCAUCAUUUAAAGAAAGCGUAAUAGCUCACUGGUCGAGUCGGCCUGCGCGGAAGAUGUAACGGGGCUAAACCAUGCACCGAAGCUGCGGCAGCGAACGUAUCACUUAAAGCGAUUCAGCGGGUUACGAUUGACGGAGCGAAGCGACGUCAAAGCGUAUACAAAGUCGAGUCGGUUUAAGGAUACGUUCGUUGGGUAGGGGAGCGUUCUGUAAGCCUGCGAAGGUGGCCUGUGAGGGUUGCUGGAGGUAUCAGAAGUGCGAAUGCUGACAUAAGUAACGAUAAAGCGGGUGAAAAGCCCGCUCGCCGGAAGACCAAGGGUUCCUGUCCAACGUUAAUCGGGGCAGGGUGAGUCGACCCCUAAGGCGAGGCCGAAAGGCGUAGUCGAUGGGAAACGGGUUAAUAUUCCCGUACUUGGUGUUACUGCGAAGGGGGGACGGAGAAGGCUAUGUUGGCCGGGCGACGGUUGUCCCGGUUUAAGCGUGUAGGUGUGUGUUCCAGGUAAAUCCGGUUCACUUUAACACUGAGGCGUGAUGACGAGGCACUACGGUGCUGAAGCAACAAAUGCCCUGCUUCCAGGAAAAGCCUCUAAGCAUCAGGUAACAUCAAAUCGUACCCCAAACCGACACAGGUGGUCAGGUAGAGAAUACCAAGGCGCUUGAGAGAACUCGGGUGAAGGAACUAGGCAAAAUGGUGCCGUAACUUCGGGAGAAGGCACGCUGACACGUAGGUGAAGUGAUUUACUCAUGGAGCUGAAGUCAGUCGAAGAUACCAGCUGGCUGCAACUGUUUAUUAAAAACACAGCACUGUGCAAACACGAAAGUGGACGUAUACGGUGUGACGCCUGCCCGGUGCCGGAAGGUUAAUUGAUGGGGUCAGCGCAAGCGAAGCUCCUGAUCGAAGCCCCGGUAAACGGCGGCCGUAACUAUAACGGUCCUAAGGUAGCGAAAUUCCUUGUCGGGUAAGUUCCGACCUGCACGAAUGGCGUAAUGAUGGCCAGGCUGUCUCCACCCGAGACUCAGUGAAAUUGAACUCGCUGUGAAGAUGCAGUGUACCCGCGGCAAGACGGAAAGACCCCGUGAACCUUUACUAUAGCUUGACACUGAACAUUGAGCCUUGAUGUGUAGGAUAGGUGGGAGGCUUUGAAGUGUGGACGCCAGUCUGCAUGGAGCCGACCUUGAAAUACCACCCUUUAAUGUUUGAUGUUCUAACGUGGACCCGUAAUCCGGGUUGCGGACAGUGUCUGGUGGGUAGUUUGACUGGGGCGGUCUCCUCCUAAAGAGUAACGGAGGAGCACGAAGGUUGGCUAAUCCUGGUCGGACAUCAGGAGGUUAGUGCAAUGGCAUAAGCCAGCUUGACUGCGAGCGUGACGGCGCGAGCAGGUGCGAAAGCAGGUCAUAGUGAUCCGGUGGUUCUGAAUGGAAGGGCCAUCGCUCAACGGAUAAAAGGUACUCCGGGGAUAACAGGCUGAUACCGCCCAAGAGUUCAUAUCGACGGCGGUGUUUGGCACCUCGAUGUCGGCUCAUCACAUCCUGGGGCUGAAGUAGGUCCCAAGGGUAUGGCUGUUCGCCAUUUAAAGUGGUACGCGAGCUGGGUUUAGAACGUCGUGAGACAGUUCGGUCCCUAUCUGCCGUGGGCGCUGGAGAACUGAGGGGGGCUGCUCCUAGUACGAGAGGACCGGAGUGGACGCAUCACUGGUGUUCGGGUUGUCAUGCCAAUGGCACUGCCCGGUAGCUAAAUGCGGAAGAGAUAAGUGCUGAAAGCAUCUAAGCACGAAACUUGCCCCGAGAUGAGUUCUCCCUGAGACUUAGAGUCUCCUGAAGGAACGUUGAAGACGACGACGUUGAUAGGCCGGGUGUGUAAGCGCAGCGAUGCGUUGAGCUAACCGGUACUAAUGAACCGUGAGGCUUAACCUU